ACUGAAUCAAGAAAAGUAACGCGGUAAUGGGUAAUUUAGCGCAGAGGAUGAUGAAAAUCGCUUAAAAGGACCAAGAAGACUACUCAAGGGCUGAAGAGAGAACAUUGAUGUGCAGUUAUGUUAUUCUCUUGGAAUGAGAACCAAUGCCUUCAUCUGUUUGCUUUUAUGAGUUCUUGUUAUGAGUGUACCCUGUCUUCUAACACACAUUCAAGGAAAAUACGUGUAAGGAUUCAAAGUUAUGUGUAGAUGAGGNCUUUCAGACUGCUGGGAACUGUUCAGACUAUCAACAUUAUCAAUAAGAUUAUCAAUAAAAUUUUUAUUCUGAUUGAAGUACCUUUGACAAGAAUAGCAUCACUUCCAGUUCAGCAGUUCGUUUCCCUGAUCAAGAAAUAUGUGAACAUUGGAUAUGCAAUACAGAAUCAAAUAAUUUUGGUUUUCAUUACCAAUAUUAUCAAUACACUAAAUUACCCAUACACAUCCGGGGACCAAAUCCAAAUGGUAGAGAAGAAAAUGGAUGGAUCUCCUCGCCACUAUCUCUCAGCCAGCGUUCUGGUUUGAAUGUUUCAGCAUCUUUGAAAUAAGUCUCUGACCGCGCAGCUGUGUAGCUGUUUUGCAAGAUUGGAGUCUUAGCAAAGAGAGAAGGAAAAUUCACAUGAGACUCACUUCAGAUUUAUGAUCAGCUAUGUUCUUUUUUAUGCUUACCCCUGCUUUAACAUUAUAGCCACAUAAAACAAUGUCUUGGUCGAGAACUCUUGUAACACCUAUUGCAAUACCAUCCAAUCUAAGAUAAGCAAAUUAAAAAGUAAGGGCUGC
rnacentral:misc_RNA from 1 species